AGGUUUGGCUGCACUUAAUAGAUGGUCUCUCUUGCUACAUUUUUCCUUUGUUUGGCAUAUGAUUUAACUCAUUCAGCAGUGCCCUUGUUCUGUUGAAGAAGCAUGUAAAGGGGUAAGAUUGCAAAGAUGGAGGCCCUUUUGGUGCUGUUAUAGUUCAUAAUGAUGAAAUAGUUGUCACAACAUGGUUCUGUGUAACACAGAUCCAACUGGUCAUGCUGCGGUGACAGCAAUAAGAGAGAAAUUUGCACAUGAUGGACAUGCCCUACCCCGUUGGAUAGCAAAGCUUGUAAGAAGCUUAAGCAGAUAGAACUUGCAGAUUGCGAAAUAUAUGCUUCUUGUGAGCCUUGUCCCAUGUGCUUUGGUGCAAUCCACCUUUCUCGAAUUAAGAGGGCUGAGGCAGCAAUUGCUAUUGGGGUUUGAUGAUUUCAUUGCAGAUGCCUUGCAAGGUACUGGAUUCUAUCAGAAAGUAACAUGGGAAAUUAAGAGAGCUGAUGGUAUAUCAUUGCUGAAGAGGUUUUUGAGAAAACAAAGGAAAAAUUCCAAAUGUAUUAUAUCUGUCAUUCUUUUAACAGCUGAUGGCAAGUGGCCAUUGGAGUUCUACUUCCAACAACAGAUUAUGUUCUCCUUCAUAACUUUGCAGAUUUAUAUAGCUUGGAUUAUUUGUGUAUAAGUUAAUUUUAAAAUGAAAAUGAGCAAAUUUUUUAAA